GGGCGUUACUAACGGACAGCACCGGCCUCUGGGAGUUCAGAUACAGUGAUGCUUCAGAAACUGUGGACCCUCGGACCCAGCCCCUGUUAAUGUUGAAGGACCAGGAAAUAUGAAUCUAGGUAGCAGCUGAGGCUCUAGCUAAGGACCAUGCAAAGCGUGUUGGAGAAUGUGUUUCCAGCUCACCUAAGUAAAAAAAAAAAGACUACCCGACCCGACCGCACAGAUUCGCAGUCGAGUUGAAAUCGAUCUGAAAAAAAGAAUUGGUGCGCGUUAAUUUAAACAAAUCUCCUAAGAUCCAAGGCUACAGGAUCCGAGCUCACCAAAGAUCACAACACGGGGUAUGAGUUCCCGAGAGCCUGCUGUAAAUACGCCAGCUAUUUAAUCUCACUUGGAACCUGCAAGUUAGGUAACAUCCAGAUCUCCUUCCCAAAUGAAGGGCCGUGGCACAGGUGUCCUUGGAUGACCUGAAACUCACAUGGACAGGCCUGGCUUUGGACUCCUGGACAGACAGACAUACUGCCUCAGCUUCCAGAGUGUUGGGAUGAUAGGCAUGUGCUACCAUGCAGAGCUCUGCUUUGUAUUUUGAGACAGGGUCUCACUUUGUAACCCAUCUUGAGUUACAGCAAGCCUCCUGCCCUGGCCUCUAGAGUGCUGGGUUUUCAGGUGUAUAUAACCACACUCAGUUUACUUUCUGUAUGUUAGGAUGGUUUGGUAUUUCCCAAAGUUUGAAGGCUUGGGGGAAGUUUAUGCUCUUAGGGUAAGUCAUUGUUUGGAGCCUCAAAACGUUCUCUACCAGGGGCGUGGCUAUCUUGAACAAACUAACCAGUCCUGAGUCUGUAUUCCUGACAACUUCCUGAUUUAAGUCUCACACUCAAACCAUUUUUUCUCUUCUCCUAACUCACCCAGAGCCAGGUAUCAGGCGACAAGCCACCACUUGUGUAUCCAAACCCUCUGAACUGUUCCAGUUUGCCAUUGUUUGCCUGCCCAAGUUUUCCUCUCCCUUAGGAAUGGCAGCAAAGGCUCCACCUCAGACUUACCUCCACAUUCUGCGUCUUUGUUUUAAGAGCUUGGGCUACUCUGCAACUUUCCACGUAGCCUACUGACCUUGAACUUGUGAUUCUCCUGCGUCAGGCUCCUGAGUGCUGAGAUUGCACGUGCACAUCUGCACACUGAGCCUCCUCCCAUCAACCUGUGUUCUACUGCAUCAGACAGACUUGGUGCUCACCCUUGGCCCUGCCUAGCCAUGGGGCACCCCCUUCUCUGGGUAGGAUCUGUGGCAGUAGAACCAUCUCCCAAGUUUCCUUCUGGUCCCCUCCCAGGGCUAUUACCAUCCCACCUUCAAUCCCAUCCUUAGCAAGUACAGGUGUCUAGGAAAGUGGCAUGAGGACACACAGAUGAUAAGCCAAAAGUCUUAACUCACCUCAAGAAAUAGAUGAAAGAAACUCGGAGACUAUUGGGAAUUCUCCUCUUUGAGUUAUGAUCCUCUUAGUGGAGGAUGGGGGCGGGGGGCUGGCAACAGACUUGACCACAGGAGUCAGAGGUUCUAGGACCUGGUGACUUAGUUACUAUCUGUCACACCAAUAGGCCUUCUAGAAAAAAAGAUAAGGGGUUGUUAUUUAAAAAGGAUACAAGGGGCCAGAAGGAUGGCUCAGUGGGUAAACUGUGAUGACUCAAGUUCUGUCCCCAGGACCCAUACGUUAGAACAAGUUGACUCCUCCAUGUGUCCUCUGAUCUCCAUGUGCACUGAGGCUUGCACACCCUCUGCCAGCACACAGAAAAGAACGUGAUAAAACAUUCAUAGAAAAGGCAUUAGGACCGAGGAACAAAAAGCAACUGCAGAGUGCUACCAGUCUAGUGUGCAGAAAACGAUGCCUUCCUUCUGCCAGAACACAUAAAGGCAGCCCAGGCUCAGUCCUGCACUCCUGAGGGUGGGGUAGCUGGACCAGGAGUUUUCUUCUCUGGGGACAUAGUCCUUUGUUUGUUUGUUUGGGUUUUUGUUUUGUUUUGUUUUGUUUUUUCAAGACAGGGUUUCUCUGUGUAGCCCUGGCUGUCCUGGAACUCACUCCGUAGACCAGGCUGGCCUCGAACUCAGAAAUCCGCCUGCCUCUGCCUCCCGAGUGCUGGGAUUAAAGGUGUGCGCCACCACACCUGGCUUAUAGUGAGUCCUUUGUUAUAUCCUACAUGGUUACAUGGGACCACGAAAUGCAAUCUCUCUUUCUGAAUCUGAAUGUCUGCUCAUUCUCAUUCUUUUUAAUCUCUCUCUCUCUCUCUCUCUCUCUCUCUCUCUGUCUGUCUCUCUCUCUCGUGUGUGUGUGUGUGUGUGUGUGUGUAUGUGUGUGUAUGUGUGUGUGUCUGUCCAAUACCUGACAUGGUGGAUAGAUGGUAGGCCACAGGGCCUCACUGAGCAUCAGAUCUUAGUUUUGACCUUUCUUGAGGUAGGGUCUCUUGUUGUCCUUUGCAUAUGCCAGGCUAGCUGAUCCAUGAACUCCAGAUACCUCCUCUCUCUGCAGCAGCCUCCUCUCUCUGCAACAGCCUCCUCUCUCUGCAACAGCCUCCUCUCUCUGCAGCAGCCUCCUCUCUCUGCAGCAGCCUCCUCUCUCUGCAGCAGCCUCCUCUCUCUGCAGCAGCCUCCUCUCUCUGCAGCAGCCUCCUCUCUCUGCAGACAGCCUCCUCUCUCUGCCUGCCCUCUUAACCAUAGGAGAGCUGGGACCUGAACUUGUUGGGAUUAGAGGCCCACAUCACCACAUGCUGGUUUUGGCCCUCUUUCUUAUCUUCCACCACUUGAUCCAGCCCAGGACAUCCCUCCACUCUGCCUGCCAUGAAUUAACUCUUCUCUGGGUGGGAUCUGUGACUGUAUCGCCAUCUUCCUUGCUUCAGGUCCUCUCUCAGGAUUAUAAAGUCUUUACCAAGCCACCUCCCACUUCUGCAAGAAUAGUAUACACUGCAGGUGUUGGGGAAAGGGGCUGGGUAGGGCACAGGACAGAUGCCAAGCCAGGGAUGUAAUUAACCUCAAGAAAUAGAGGGCAGAGACUUGGGCCUUCUCUCUGAAGGGAGAUGCUAAGGGUGAAAGGUAGUGAAGGGAAACGACCACUAAGGUCCGCGGCCUCUGGCAGGGACGACACCAGUGAGCACUGGCAGCGUAGCUCAGACUCCUGGAAGCAAAGGUUCGAGACCAUUCUUAGAAAAGAUACGAGGGCUGGGGUUGUAACUCAGUAGUAGUGUGCUUGCUUAACUUGCCUGAAGCCCUGGGUUUGAUUCCCCAGCACCCAAUGUAAGUGUGGUGCCCAUGCCUGUAAUGCCAGCUCCUGGGGAGGCAGAGGCAGGAGAGGCAGGUCAUCCUGUGCUGCACUGCAAGGUCGCAAGGUCGCAAGGUCGAGGCCAGCCAGGGCUUCCUGAGUCCCAGUCUCAGGAAAGUUUAAAGAAAAAUCGACACAACACAGGGGGUUGCAAAGAGUGCUCAGAGGGCAGUGGCAGAAGCCAGGUCCUCUACCCACUGCUCCCUCUCCCCAGAAUGAGGGAGGCCACACCCCUCAGUCUCUCAAGGCCAGCUUCAGAGAGCUGCUGUGACCUCACAGCUCUCAGAGUUCCAUUCUCUCUAAGCCCCCUACAGUGCCAAGCCCAGACACUGAUGCCCAGACAACCUCGACUUAUAACUCUACUUAUAUCUAGUUCCUUCCUGUCUUGUGACUCACACCACAUAGGCUAGCUAGGUCAAGUGAUAUGGAUCUUAUCACCCUCCCCCCACCCCCCAAAAAA
rnacentral:lncRNA from 1 species